rnacentral:tRNA from 1 species
UCGAGCUUGCUUCUAUCGAACCGUUUUAGAAACAUCAGUGGCCAACAGAUCGCCAGAUCGUUGAGCUGCAUUGGCGGGAUUUCGCCGUCUACGUUUCUCUUUCUUCGCGGACGAACACGCGCUGGGCCUGCGUCAUGCAGGAUCCCUGGUCCUUGACGGGAUAUGCGUUAGGGGCUUGUAGCUCAGUUGGUUAGAGCGCGCGCUUGAUAAGCGUGAGGUCGGAAGUUCAAGUCUUCCCAGGCCCACCAGCCUUCGCGCUUCGCUACUUCGGCUAGGCAAGCCCUUCGAUACGAAGGCUGCCGCGCCGUAGCCUUGGCGAAGGCGGGUAAUCAAACGAGUAUUCGUCUUCUGGGUACGGGGCCCUAGCUCGCUUGGCUUUUUCCUGUU